GCAUGUGUGCUUUUAUAAGGUGUUGAUUCUGAUCGCCAUAUCGUCGGAUUUGAAGUUCUCACUGUUGAAAAUUCUGGUUUCCAGAUGGGCAUGCUUUUCCAAAACCGUGUUUUCUGAAAUAGCGUUGAGGGGGGAAUCCGUGAUAUUGAAAUGAAGGCUCCUUCGCUGGAAAAUUGAGAUGGUUGUUGACAGAUUUCUUGCAAAUAGUGUAAUAAUGGGUUGAGAAAGCAGCCUUGGAAGAAGGGGACAUUGACGGACUUGAAAGCCUAUCUAUUUUCUCUUCAGGUAAAUUGUUUUAGUUUGUGAGAUUAUGGAAUAGGAACAAAGUGGAAUUCAUAUAAAUUGGCUUAAUUGCCUGCUUUUUUUCCAGUGCUUUGGAGCUCUCAAACCCCCCAAAUAUAAUCAAGGUGCUAAUUUUUAAAUACAGUAUUUCUACUUGAGUCAGUUUUCCAUAAUGCUCAGAGCUCAACCUCAUGUAGUUGUUUGAAUGCAGUAAUCCAGGGCCAGCCUCUGCCAGAAAUUAGGCACUAUGGCCCUGUUUCAAAAGAGCACAUACAAACAAGAUGUUCUUGUGUGUAGAUGGGUAUAGUUUUAAGGGUAUAGUUUUACGUAUAUGCAUAUUGUGCUAUAGGAAUAUGAUUUUAGCUACUUGUAACAUUCUGGGUUGUAAGUCUUUGAAUAUAAGGAAAUAAAUAUACAUAUACUCCAGAUUUAAAGACCUAGAAUCCUGCUACAGUUAGUCAUGACUAAUGCCAUACACACUUACCUGGGAAUGAUUCCCACUGAACACAGUAGGACUUCCUGACUAAAUAUGUGUAGGAUCAUAUUGGACAUUCAAGUCAAAGCAAUGAAAAUUCAGUUUCAUUUGUUUCAAAGAGAUUUAGUAAAGACAAAAUUAGACAUAUUUGCCAGGUAGUGACCAAAACGUGUUGGGUAUCAUUUAUCCUGAAAAAUAAUUGCACAGUUUGUAGAGAAGAGACACUAACUUUUUAAAAUUGUAUGUGUUUUCAAGUAUUAUUACAGGUAGCAGGUCCUAGAUACCAAAGCAGUAGUAUACCCACAAGCAGAUUGUUUCGGUGCAGAAACUUAGGGGUAACACAUUUCUCCAUUAACUAAAAGUGUCAUUAAAUUCUUCAUUUACUAUAUGUUUAGGAAUUAUGGUAUGGUGAAUUUUUUUGUUAAAAAAUCCAGAAUACUUGACUUGUAUAAAAUAUAGGUUGAAAUGUUAUGAAUUUAAUUUCUUCACAUAAGAUGUAUUCUGAGAAAAAUGUUGGUAAAAAGUAUUUGCGGGCAAUUUAAAGUAUGUUGCAAAAAAAGCAUAAGAAUUAAUCUCAUAUUUCAUCUGUAAAUUAUUUACAAGCUAAAUACUUGUUUGGUCAUAAACUGUAUGUAGUUGUGCUCUUAAAUUUAAAUUUAGGGUGUUACUUAAAUAAACCUAAGUAAAUUAAUGGACCUAACUUAGUCAUAUUCAUUAAUUUCAGUGGGUCUACUCUGUGUAGUACCACCCUCUACAGGUUUUCAUUCAGUCAGGUCUAUACAUUAAAACAUAGUUUGAAGACUAUAACAAAACAAGUUUAGUUAAAUGUGGUUUUCUCAGAUAUUGAAAUAUUAAUAUAUUUUAAUAAGGCAGAUCCAAAAAAUAUCUGCUCAGAUACACUUUGCCUUGUGCAGUCAGGAUUUCCUUUUUAAAAUGUAGACUGUUCAUACUAAGUAUAAAUGUAAAGAGCCAAAUUGUGCCCUCCUGUGGAAAAAGCACAAAAAGCCCAGAAAACUUUUGAGUUAUUUCUAGGCAACCUUAGCAGGAAAUUCCCAUAUUUGCAAACCUGCAUUCUGAAAAUGAAUCCAGAAACAGACACUAACAUAUCCAUGCUGCCCUGUAAUUAAUACAGAAAUCAGCACUACUACGAAAGUUUAGAUGCAGGGUGAACAACAUAAAUACUGUACUGAGCAUCAUAUAUAAUAUCAUGAGUUGCAGAGUUACAGCCUAUUUACAAAGUUGUUUCUGAAUGUAUUAAGCAUAUUAUUUCCAUCAAGAGCAUACCUGGUGACCAAAGCUCCUAGACCUGUUAUACCUUUUGCAUAAUUUAAUAUAAUAAUUUCAAUAAACAAUUUUUCUAUUGAAAUUGAUACUUCUAAAGGAAAAGGACCACUGGACGGUUAAGUCCAGUCAAAUUUGACUAUGGGGUGCGGCGCUCAUCUCGCUUCAGGCCGAGGUAGCUGGCAUUUGUCCACAGACAGCAUUAAGGGUCAUGUGGCCAGCAUGACUAUACCACUUCUGGCACAGCGGUACACUGUGACGAGUGCCAGAGUGCACAGAAAUGCUGCUUACCAUCCCGCUGCAGCGGUUCCUAUUUAUCUACUCACGUUGGUAUGCUUUUGAACUGCUAAGGUUGGCAGGAGCUGGGACAGAGCAACAAGAGCAAACCCUGUCACUCGGAUUAAAACCAGCAAGUGGGUAGUGCUGUGGUCUAAACCAGGGGUCAGCAAGGUUUAUCUUGCCUGGGCCGGAUCGGUCAGGCAGAGAUCCCUCCGUGGGAUGGAUCAUGCACCCCCCGGCACAAUUUUUGGCAUCUGUGUCUGCGCAGAUGCAAUUUUGAAUGUCUGCGCAUGCGCAGAUGUGAUUUCCGGCACCGCAGAAGCGGGUCCCCGUGCCACACUGCGCCAGUUUAUCGCAGCACGCGAGCGGGCAGCUCUGUUCGUGGGCCAGUUGAACGACCUCUGCGGGCUGCUUCCAGCCCAUGGGCCUUAGGUUGCUGACCCCUGGUCUAAACUACUGAGCCUUUUGUUACUUCUAGAUGUCAGAAACAUUACACCAGUUGUAUCAGUAGUACAAAAUGAGUAAUACCCUCACUAAGAGAGUGUUGAGUUGGGAUACCAAAAUCUGGGUUCAAAUUCUUACUUGACUCUGAAAUUCACAGUGUAUCCUUGGGCAAGUUAACCAAGCCUAGCUUGCAAGAAGCCCAAAUAAUAGUCUUUUACUUUAAAGGCAAAGACUCAGGCAGCAGCAUUCAUGAACACAAUACAUUUUUUUAGUCUUUAAGGUGUCACAUGAUCCUUUUUGUAUUUGCUUUUAUACACUAACACAGCUAACCCACUGGAAUUUGCAAUUUCACAGGAUAAAAUGCUUUUCUAACCUUGGGAUACAAAUGGAGCAACUUAAGUGCAACAAAGAGUUUUCUGGCGCCAUAAAGACUAACAAGUUAAAAUACAUUAACUUUUAUUUAGAUGGUGAAUAGCUAAUCCAUAUACUACUCUAAUGCUUUUCAACUACUACAGUGACAACUUGACUGGUACAAACCUACAUGUCCAAUAUUUUAUAAUAAGGUUUUCACUUAUUGCAUACCUGCUUUGCUUGCCUUACACGUACAAAUGUAUCAACAAAUAGCUUUUUAGACUGGAAUAUAAUCUGGAAUUGAAGGUGAUUAAUUUGCAUUUGUAUAGUGUUUUGCAAGUUUAGGAAAUACUUGGGUUAAUGGAAUAAUUUAAAGUAAUAAGAACUGAGUGUUAUCUAAGAUAGUUUCAUAGUUACUUUGUGUAGAUAUGUCAAAAUAUUCAUGCAGCGGAGCAGAAAAAUAUUCAUUUUUUUGCAUUUUUCACACAUUCUCCUAUUUGUCAUGGUGUAAUGUUUUUAGAAUACAAUAGCCCUUUUUGGAGAAAGAGUAGGACUCUAUCAUGUCCUUGGGCCUGGGCCUACUUUACCACCCUCCAUUCCCGGUGGGGGGGGGGGGUGACACCUUUUCCUGAACUCAUGCAACUGGAAAAGGACAAUUGAAAUUAUCAAGCGGUUGGAGCAAUUCUCCUGUAUUGAAAAUAUCAUUUUGGGCUUUUUUAGUUUGAAAUGGAAGGGUUAUUAAGAGACAUUAUAUUAUGCAUAGUGUGGAGAAAGUGAAAUUUUUCUCACUUUCUCAUAAUACUUGGGGCCAUCCUAUGAAGCUGAAUGUUGGAAGUUUCAGACAGAAAAACAUUUGUAUUUUCUUACCUUUUCUUGCUUCCUCCUUACCUUGUCAUAGAUUUGUGAUUCUUUAUUCUUCCACAAAAAUGAUGCACUGCAAAUCCAUGUUUUAAGUAAUAAUACCUAAAAUAGAAUGUUUAAAAGUUUUAAUAUGCGAUAACAAUGCUUAUAACCUACUCUCAAUUUCCCUUGAACAAUGCAAAACCAGUCACCAAUUGCUAAUAAUGGUGAGAUUUUAGUCAUUCUCAGAGUAGAUGUACUGAAAUAAAUCAAGUCCAGUAACUUGUCCAUUCAUUUCAGUGAGUCUAUUCUGCAUCUAGUACCUUUAAAUUUUUUAUCUGAGAAAAAUUCUAGAUUGCAUAAUAUCAUAAAAAAAAUAAGCAGCAUUGAAGUAUACAAUAAAACAACAUACAAACAUUAAAAUCCUGAACUGAUUUAAGUCUGAAAUUCUAUAUACACUUGCUUGAUGGUAAGCUCCAUUUAAUUUAAUGGUUCUUAAUGGGUCUUACUUUUGAGUAGACAUGCAUAGCACUACAUUAUUAAAGUUUGCAGCCGUUCUGGAAGCACAUAAACAAAAGGCCCAUCAUUAGGUAAACCCAUAUGAUCCAGCCAAACAUCUCCUCAAGAGUACCUUUAAAAAAAAUCCAAAAUAUUUAAAUCCUAUAGAACUUAGCAAGGAUUAAGAGAACAACUGCCCCAUAGGACUUCAGAGAACUAAUUUCACGUGAUUAAUCAUUUUUUUAAAAAAAACCACACACCACAACUAUGUGUUUUACUCAGUUUAUAUUAGGUGUGUUUAGAAAUUACUCUUUCCUCACCUGCUCAUUGCCAUCAAUUACUCAGAAGGUAAUCCUUGUCUCUCAUAUGGGCUGAAUAUCUAAUGCUUGCUCAUUAAAUACACUUCAAAACCACCUUUUAAUUACAAAUACGCAAAGCAGUGAACAACAUUUAAGCAAAUGUCUCUCUUGAUAGUUCCCUUUUUUAUCUCAUUAUCAUGAAGAAAAUCUGGAAAUUACCCUUGCUUGAAUAGUGAUACUGAUGUCAAAUGGCGCUCCCAACAGACCUUACAAUAUGCUAUAUCCUCAAAAUAAUUAAGAGGGACUCAUAAAGUCUCCUAAGAUAUAGCUAUGAAGCCCUGUAAGAUUUCCAGAGUGGCCCUAUGACUUGAAGAAAUCCUUCGCCUUUCUAUUCCCCUCAGACAACGGACUAGGCCACUAAACAACUUUUAGGAAAGAGUCCAUAUUUGCCCUCAAAUAUUUACCUCAGGUUUGACCAUUUUCUUUCAUAGAUGUAUACUUUAACAUUUUUACAAUGAUAUUAUGGAUUCAUUUAUAACGUUUUUAAAAAAGAAAUAUGCAAAUUAAUGGAUAACAAUAAGUCAUCUUCCUUUUUUAUCUGGGUAAUGGUACGGUCCAGUGAAGUUUCUCUCAGGAGAAUGAAGAGAAAUGAUUCUGUUUCUUCUGUUGUGCCAAAGCAUACAGAACCCAAGAAUCAGACAGCUAGAUCACACUUAAUAUGAGAUUUUAAAGAAAUUAUUGGCUUUUAAAGAUUCUCAUAAUCUUUUAAACAUUAAUUUGUGUAUUCAGAAAUAUAUGUCACUCCAUGAUGCAUUUUUUUAAAAAACAGAACUGCUAUUAAAAAAAACAACCCAAAAAACCAUAACAACAUAAAGAAUGUGAUUUGUAAUUUAAACACAUACACAUCCUUUUUCACGUAAUAUAUGCAGUUCUAGACAUUAAUGUUCAUUAAUGCUUUAUGCACUCUAGUGUUUUGAAAAACAUUUUUCAUGCUUUUUGUCUAAUAUCACCACUGGGACACAUUUUCCUGAGGCAGACAGUGCUUUAUAUCUCCCAUUAAGUAAGUUUCAGUUCUUUAAAAAGUAAAUUAAGAAAAUAGGAUGAAAAGCCUAGUACCCAGUAAUUCAUAUCAGACAUGCAACCUGAUCCCAUGCUUGUUUACUCAAAAGUAAGUACCACUAAGAAAUGGAGUCUGCUCUCAAGUCAGGUUCAACUCAUUAGCCACACUUGGCUAACAUGAUGGGACUUUUUAUCUGAGAAAGACAGAGGAUUGAGCUGUUAGGCUAUAUUCCAUGAAUCGUGUACCUGUAACUUCAAAUCACUGAAGGGGAAACUGCAGAUAUUUGUGUAAAACUGACCCGUUUAAUUAUAAUAAAAGAUGAGAGGUGUUUGGUAAUUCCUUUUACUUUAGCAGAGCACAUGGCAUAUGAACAGCCGCAGCUAAUGGGGUGGGGGAAAACUCAAAUCUUUUGACAUCCCUUUGGAUGUUAUAAAUAACUACAAAUAUGUAGGGGGGUGUUAACAUGUAUUACAGAUGGAAUAAUUCAUUUUCAUCUAACUUUCCUCAGAGUUUUUUAUUUAUUUAUCCCCCAUUUUAUUAAUUAGAUUUUCACGUCUCACUUUUCCUGGUAGGAGCUCAAGACAGUGUUGAGGGUCGCGCCCCCCCCAUUAUCCUCAUAAUAACCCUGUGAGGUAGGUUAGGCUGAGAAAUAGUGAAUGGCCAAGGACACCUAGUGAGCUUCAUGGCUGAGGGGGGAUUUGAACGGGGGUCUCCUGAGCCGUAGUCUGACACUCUAACCACUAUACUAUCCUGACUCUUUUAGAAUAGUCUUUUAAAAAUUGAAUGCUGAAUCUUAAAAAAAAAAAUACUGAAGUUUUUUGGCCAGCAACAGCAUCUACAAGCCCAGCAUUGGUGUUCAGCAUACGGGGGCAAUUGCUACCAGCCACACACUCCAGCAGGGGAUAGCUGAACUUUUUUUUUUUUUUUAAAAUAUUUUAUUAAGGAUUUUCUUGUUUUACAGAAGUGUAGUGCCUCGUAUUUUUUUCCCCCAUGUAACAUUUUUACAAAUCCGUUUCAUUUGUUGAGGCAUUAGGGGGAGAAGAAAAAAAGGAAAAAAGAAAGGGGGGUGGAGAGAGGGAAGAUGGAUGGGGGUGGGGUCGGGUGGCGGUGUUUCUAUUAUGUUUAAUGUAUGUAGAGUUUGGUGUCAGCGUUGCUUGUGUUGUUCACUUGUGUUCCUUUGGUGGUGAGAGAGGUUGGGGUUGGCCUAGGGUGUGAUUGUUUGCUUGUGAUUGGCUGUGGUGAUCUUUGUUUUCGUGUGUGAGUGAGGUGGGUGGGUGUUUUGGAUCAGGUUAGCCAUAUUGAUUUGUAUGCUGUUGGUGGAUUAUUGUCAUUGUCCUGUUGGGCUGUGUAUGUGAUAAAUGGGAGCCAUACCGGGGUGAAGGCGUCUUCUUCUGUUUGUCCCCGUGUCAGUUUCAGUUUAUUAGUUAAUUUUUCUAGUAGGGCUGUUUCCCAUACUAUUUGGUACCAUUGGUCCAUGCUUACUCCUGACAGGUCUCUCCAGUGUCUGGUUAUGGUGUUUCUGGCUGCUGAGAGCAGGUGGGUUAUGAGUUCUUUGUGGUGUAAAUGGGCAUUGUUGUCUUGGAAGAUGUUUAGUAGGGCCAAUUCUGGGGUGAUGUCUAUUACUUGCUUAGUUAUUUUACAUAUUUCUUGUAUGGCUGUUGUCCAGAAUAGUUGGAUUUUGGGACACUCCCACCACAUGUGGAGGUAUGUGCCUGUGGAGGUGCACCCUCUCCAGCAUUUUGGUGAGGUUCCUGGGUGUAUUAGCGCUAGUUUCCUUGGUGUUAGGUACCACCUGUAGGUGAGUUUCAGUGUGAGUUCUUUUCUUUUCGUUGAUAUGGAUUUAAAGGGGGUUUAGACCACAUUCUGGUCCAUUGAGUGGGGUUAAUCUCAUAGCCUAUGUCAUUCUCCCAUUGUUUUUUGAUUGCGUCUAGGGAUUUACAGGAUUUUGGAGUAGUAUUUUGUAUAUUGCGGAUACCGUCCCUUUACCGUUUCCCUUUGUUGUUAGGAGGAGGUUUUCGAAGGUUGUCAGGGGCCUAGUUGCUGUUGAUUUUACUGUUGGGUUGUUUAAGAGGGCAUGAAGUUGGUGUUGUGUUAACCAGGGCAUUUGGGUGUCUUCUAGUUUGUCUUGUAUUUCUUGUGUUGACAAGGGUUUGUUAUUUUUAUAAAAGUCUAUUAGGCGAUAUAAGCCUUUGGUUCGCCAGGUUUUUAUCUUGAGGUUUUGUGCUGCACGGUGGAAUAAUGGGUGGUACGCCAGGGGAUUAGUGGGGAUGGGGUUGGGGAUAGUUUGCCUAUUUGUGUUUUCCAUGCUUUGAGCAUGGUCUGUGUGUACCUGUUAAGUGUUGUGGGAAUUUUCUUUAGUUUGUUUGGGAGGAGUGGGUAUGUUGUGGUGCAGGUGUUUUCAAUUGUGUCCCUCUCUAGGUGUACCCAUUGUUUUGUCUCAUCUUCUAGUAUAUAUGGGAUUAUGUGGCGUAUUUGGUUGGCAUUGUAAUAUGCUUCUAUGUUAGGGAUUCCCCAUCCUCCUUCGGAGGUGGGGAGGUGCAGGUAUUUGGGGCUUAUUCUUGGUUUUUUAUGUGAGAAGAUGAAAGAGUGUAGUUUUCUCUGCCAACUGCGAAGUUGGGUUGAGGGGAUCCAGAUUGGGAGGGUUUGGAAUAGGUAGGUUAGUUUUGGGAGUGUGAUCAUUUUGAUCAUGGCUAUUUUGUCUGAGAGAGUGAAGUUCAUGUUAUUCCAUCUCUUUAGGUCUUUGUUAAUUUGUCGCCACAGGGGCUUGUAGUUGUGGAGGUACAAUUUAUUGAGGUUUCUGGUUAUUUGUACCCCUAGGUAUCUGAACUUGGUGUGGCAAAGUUUUAUUUUGGUGACCUUCGUGAGUUCUUUUUGGGUGUGAGUAGGGUUGUUGAAGCACAUAGCUUCUGACUUUGUAAAAUUUACCUGUAGGCCCGACACCAUUGCAAAUGUGUUGAGUUCUCUGAUUAGGGAGAUUGCUGUGCUUAUGGGGUCUGGUGUUGUGACCAUUAGGUCAUCUGCAAAGAGCCCUAAUUUAUAGGUUCUGCCUUUUAUUUCAACUCCUUGAUGUCUGUGGCUGCUCGGAUGCGGAUUGCUAGGGUUCCAGAGCCAGGAUAAAUAAGAAGGGAGACAGUGGGCAUCCUUGUUUCGUGCCUCUUUGGAUAGCUAUAGUGUUAGAAUCCAUAUUGUUAGUUCUGCAUUUUGCUGAGGCUUGGGAGUAUAUUUCUUUGAGGAUUUGUAGGAAGUUGGGGCCAAAUUUCAUGUUAGUUAGUACUGCUAAUAUGUAUUUCCACUCCAAGCAAUCAAAGGCUUUGAGGAUGUCUAGGGACAUAAUUGUCAAUGGGAGUUUGGUUGCCUUGCUGUGUUCGAUCAGGUUCAGUAGUUUCCUGAUGGGGUCUGUUAUAUUGCGGCCAGGGACAAAGCCAGUCUGGUCUGGGGCUAUUAACUUGUGUAGGGGAUAGCUGAACUGAUGCUUUGCCUGGACGUCUGUCACCAUCCCCAGCCAUCACUUGGCAGCGAUUCCACCAGGUGUGCUUACCUGCCAGGGUAUCACUGUAAUGGCCUGGGAGCAAAAGGGAUACUUAGCUCAGGUGGGUGCCUGGCAGCUGCCACAUUUAAUCUCUAACAGUGCUGUGGAAGAUAAAAUGUGUCAGCUACAAGCUGCUAAUCAGUGGUCACUUGUCUCCUAGCUCUUUACAUCACUGCCAACAGGUAAACCUACCUGACUGUUUACUUGUUUAAGAGAGGGGAAGUCUGGCAGUACCACCAUUGCGGGGGGUUACCAAUAGAAACACAUCCAGGGUUCCUAAAACCUGGGGCAGGGCCUAAACAUCUCUCAUCAAAGGUUACUAGUAUGGCUUAAUUAUACUUUGCAUUUAUACUCUUUCCAAUGUCCAAAUGUUUGACAAACCCCUCCAACAAGGUCUCAUCAUUAAGGCUGCAAUCUGAACCAUGUCUACUCAGAAGUAAGUCCAAUUGAAUUCAGUAGGGCUUAUUCAUGGGUAAGUGGACUUUGAAUUGCAGUCUAAACUGCCAACAGUCCGUAUAUAGGUGAUACAAUCUAAUGAAAAUGUUAUACAGUAUGUGGCCGCUUCUAACUGAAGCAAUGACCACGGUGAUGGAUGGGGAGCAUGAAGGGUAGAGAAAGUAGAGUUUUGCGAAAGGGGGUUGAAAUGGAAGAGGGAGCACAUCAUUUGUUGUUUUGUGAAGUAUCUAACCUGCCAUUACAAUAUGAAAAAUAAUCAGUGCUAGUAGGAGUUGUUUGGAAUGUUAAAUCCUUAACUGACCUGAUAAAGGAGAUCCACAGGUGCAAAUGAGCAGUGAGAGCAAGUGACAGACAAACUGGCUUAAAAAAGAAAACCCCACAUAUGCUUUUAUACCAUUCUAUAAUGUUUCAUGGGGACGCAGGUGGCGCUGCGGGUUAAACCACAGAGCCUAGCGACGGGGUGAGCUCCCGUUGCCAACCUAGCAGUUCGAAAGCACAUCAAAGUGCAAGUAGAUUAAUAGGUACCACUCCGGCGGGAAGGUAAACGGCAUUUCCGUGUGCUGCUCUGGUUCGCCAGAAGCGGCUUAGUCAUGCUGGCCACAUGACCCGGAAGCUGUACGGCGGCUCCCUCAGCCAGUAAAGUGAGAUGAGCACCGCAACCCCAGAGUCGGCCACGACUGGACCUAAUGGUCAGGGGUCCCUUUACCUUUUUAUAAUGUUUCAUAGGUCUUCUGCUUUGGCUGUUUUUUUUGAGGGGGGGUUGGUACUGAUUGUUUUUCUUCAACCAUUUGAUUUACCAUGUGAUAUGUGCAUAAUAUGAAAACUGACAAGUACAGCUUUUGAAAGCUGAGGCAGUGGGUUUGACAGACAGUGCCAGUGAGCAGCUUCAGAGCAUAACAGCUCCCAGCUAUAACGUUAAACAGAUAAAGAUGCUCUCAGCACUCAUGAUUCUGUUUUACCUGAAGAUACAUAACAUACUGAAUUGUAAAAAAGUUUUGCUCACCUGCAGGAUUUCCUAUUUCCUGCGCUACUCAGGGAAAGGGGUAUUGGAAAGGGAGUAUUAGAAGUGUUGGGCCACCCUACGUCCUGUGCUGUCCGAGGGGAAAGUGUUCCUAGCAAACACAGUGUACCCCUAUGCUCAGUCUACUCUUUCACUUUAAACAAGUCAUUCCUACAAGAAAGAAGUGGAGAGUGUAUAUACCAGGCUACCCCUUAUGAAUCAGCCUAAACUCUCCCCUGGGGUCUCCCUGAAGCCUCUCAAGGGAACACAAGGUAUGGUUUCCAGGCAUGAGAGUGCUUACAGCAAGCUGAGACUACCUAAGUUUAUGAAACAAGAUAAAAGUUUAUUAGAAUCAUAGAGUUGGAAGGAAACCUGAGGAUCAUUUAGUCCAACAUCUGCAAUGCAGGAAUAUGCAGCUGUCCCAUAUGAGGAUCGAACCUGCAACUUUGGCGUUGUCACCACCACACUCUAACAACUGAGCUAUCUAGGCUGAUGAUGGAAAAUAGUUUUAAGAUGGGAAAUGGUUUUAAAAAUUACGUAAGUUAUAGAAAAGCAAUAUAUUCCCAUUUGGAUCAAAAUAAAAAACUACAGUAGAUUAAAACACCUUCCAUGGGUGAAUUGUUUCAUACUCUAUUCUUAAAUCAACUCUCUAAGUAGGUCAGUUAUCUCCAUAUUGCAGAUGCAGAUGCAGAGGCUGAGAGGUUGUGGUUUGCCUAAUGUAGCCUAGUGAGUUUAAGGCCAAGGUGAAAUUUGAAGCAGGGGACCUAAGUUCAUUGUUCAUAUUCUUAGCUGCAAUGGUUCACCAGCUCAGUGCUAUAUUUAUACCUUUCUUCUGAUUAGGGAAAUCCCCGUUCUAUGAUGGGAAACAUUGAUUGCAAAUAUAUCAGCACUUCUGCUAGCUUUGUAGUGACACCAGCCUUCUGGAGAGAAGAUUUGCAUUCAUCAAAUAAUCUUGAUAACUAUACAAGAACCAACUUGGAUGAAGCAGAUAAAGUGUUGGGCAAGAGUGGGUGAGACCCGCAUUCAAGUCCCUGCUUAGUCACAAAGCCACAAAGCAUAGCCUUGGGUAAGUCAUGACCUCUUUCCCUAACCUACCACACAAAAUUGUUGUGGAGAUAAAAUGAGAUAAUGCCAUACAUGCCAACUGCGGGGGGGUGGGGGGUGGGUAGAGGCAGAAAUGUCAAAUAAAUAAAGCAAAACCACCGGUGUAGAAAGACAAGCUGUGGCAUUUUCAGAGUACUGCAACCUUUGCAAGUCAUAGGACAGGACUAGUCCUCACUGCAAGAAGUGAGGUUACAGGGAACCAGGCAGAGGGCCUUCUUGGUAGUGGCGACCGCCCUGUGGAAUGCCCUCCCAUAAGAUGUCAAGGAAAUGAACAACUAUCUGACUUUUGGACGACAUCUGAAGACAGCCCUGUUUAGGGAAGUUUUAAAUGUUUGACCUUUUAGUGUGUUUUUAAUAUCCUGUUGGAAGCUGCCCAGAGUGGCUGGGGAAACCCAGCCAGAUGGGCAGGGUAUAAAUAAUAAAAUUAUUAUUAUUAUUCCUGCUCCACUCCAAAAAGUGAUUUGAAAAUGUUCAAAGGAACUUAAGAUAGCUCCCAUAGACAUCAAUGGAGAAAUCAAUGACUUUAAUGUAGUACCUGCCCUAAAAAAACAUAAAAAUGGAGGAAGAAACCCAAGUCAACGAGGACUGAGAAUGCUCACUAGACACUAAAUACAUACUUUGGGGUCAGUUGGGGGGGGCAGGAAACUGGAAGGAAGAAUGAAACCAUGAACAGAAGCUCUCCAUACGGCAUAAUUUUGUUGCUGGGUCCUGCUUGCAGAAGCCCUAUAUGUGGCAUAGCAUUCUAGAACACAUUAUAGAAUAGGGGUAGCCAACAUUUUAUCUUCCAGAUGUUGCUGGACUACAACUCUUUUCAUCGCUGACCCAUUGGCUAUGCUGGCUGGGGCUGAUGGGAGUUGUAAUAGAACAAUAUCUGGAGAGCAUUACAUCGCUAUCCUGUUCUAGAGUGCCAGUGAAGCCACAAAGGUUUAGGUAAUUGCUCAUCCUCAAAAUGGACUCUUGAGCACUAUAAUGUGUCCAGUGUUUUCUCAAUAUAAGACAUUGUAGGAUAUGGGUGGGGAAUUUACAGCUCAACAGAUAUUGCUGGACUACAACUUCCAUCAUCCCUGAACAUGCUGGCUGGAGCUGAUGGGAACUGAAGUCAGUGACAGGUCCCCCUUCCCCGGUCAUAGAGGAAGUUCAGUUGUGGUGAAUAAGAUGUCUUUCUAACAUUGCUGUAUUUUCACACUAAGAACCUCCUGAGAAGAUCCCAGGGAAUCCCAGGGUUCUUAGGAACAGUUUGAAAACCACCAAUUUAAGACACUGGAGAAUACAAUUACUGGAUCAGUGAUUUUUUCACUAUUCACUCAGAUUGUUUAUGCUCUUCCUUCCAUAGCAUGUUAUCAAAGAGUGUGUCAUCAAAAGCAUAUAAUCUGAAUGUGUAUGUUGCUGAAUAUCAUACAUACAGAAAGCCAUGGAUUCCAAGUGUAUUAAUUAUAAAUGCUAGGAAUCUAUACCUAUUUGUCACUAGAUCCACUGAAUUAUAGCAAAACUCAUUAACUCAAUGUCUAAUGAAAUCAGUAUGGGUUCUCCUUGCAGCCAUAUUCCAACAAAGUAUCUGAUAAUCUGUGAGGUUGGCAACAUACUUCUGAAUAAAAGUUUUAAUACUGAGAGAGGCAAAAAGGUGACAAGAAUUUGAGCUUUUACACAAUUUAAAUAUUAUUCUGUACUUCUCAUUAAUUCCAAUGAGGUUUAAAUAAUGGUUCAAUGGUACAUUUAAGUACUGGUCUGGCAGUACAUCUUUAUAAUUACAUAUUGUGAUUAAUAGCUGUUUCUAUUAUACAUCAUAUUAUUUUAAGGAAUAGCCAUGUCUGUUGAAAGUAGAUAAAAUGUUGACAAAAGUACUUUAAAUAGUAAUAGCCCUUUAGUGACUUCCUUCAGCAGUAAUUUUUAUUUAUUCAGAAAGUACAGUGUAUAAAUAAGGCAUAUAAGAAACUGAGGACUAUUUUAAAAGCCUUGUAAAAGUGCUCACGUUACAGCAACAAUUAUUAUUCCCCCAGAAACACUAGUUUACGGCAUAUGGAAAAUUGUUUCUUCUUCUACAAAUAAGUUUUUUAUUAAUUUUCCAAUAUUCCCCCCAAUGACAGCCAAAUUAUAACAAUAUCAAUUAAUUUGGAAAAUUGUUUCUUAACCAGGUGUUUUAUAGUUAACAAGACAAACAGGUAUCUAGAUAUCAUUACUGUCUGGGAGGUACAGGUAGCAGUUGUGGCAACUGUGCAUUCUUCCUUCUCAGGCUUGUAUAUCAGCCAUAGCUGUCAACGUUUCGCUUUUUUAAAGGGAAAUUCCCUUAUUCGUAAUAGGAUUCCUCGCAAGAAAAGGGAAAAGUUGACAGCUAUGACAGCUGUGGCCCUAUCUGGAGCAUCAUGGCCUAGCUUUGGUUGCUUCAGUGCUCAGGGGUUGGGGGUGGUGGCAGUCUCUCAAAGAUGAUUCAGAAACUUAAUGCAAAACACAGCCACCUGGGUGUCAGGGCUUGAGUCAACAGGAAGCAGGAACUCAGGUUGGAGCACUGUUCCAGGACUGCCUCCAUCCGGGAGGGGGGGUCUCCAUGCCUCGUGCUUGCCCAUGGUGGGGCUUUACUUCCAGCUGUUCACCAGCACCCGGGCUCUCGUCAUUAACUUUUAAUUCUUAAAUAGUUUGCACCCUGCAUCUGUGUGAGCCUGCUGGCAAUCUAAGAUCUGUGUCUGAAGUCCUAUUUCUGUGCCAGCCAGUGAAAUUGGUUAGGAAUGCAAAUGGUCUUCUCAUUCAGGCAUUGCCCAGAUGUAGAUGCCUUAGCUUUAAUAAGCCUGCCUUCAGAACCUGUCCUAAAGAAUGUGUGUUCUAGAACCAUGUGAAAGCAUUCUGACAGCCUGUCCUAAUGCUGAUUCAUUACCUUGCACCAUGCGACGAGAAGCUGAAAAUUACCCAAGCAUAUAACAUUGCCAAAAUCAUAGUUCAAAUAAUUUAACUUACAUGUGUAGCUGUAACUGUAUAGGAAAUGUAAUCCUUCCUUUAAUGAAAUAUUAAUUUUGCUAGCAUAUUCACACAUUUUAUGCUGGCCUCGGGAGAAAGGAUAAUCAAUAUUAUAAGUGUUACAUUUUCUGUUCUAAAAUUUGAAAAGACAAACAACAGCACACACUAAAAAACAAUGACAGUGUCACUGCAAAUAUUUCACUUGAAUGAUAUUGACUAGGACAAGCCUUUAAAGAUGUUAUUUAUUGAUUUUUUGCAGAUAACAUAGUUAUAUGAACACAGCCUCAGUUCAGCACUCAUGGAGGGUUGACAAAUGCAACAGAUACAUCAUGUGAGGCUAUAGCUUUGUUCAGUUGUUAGUAGAGGUGAUGUGUGCAAUUCAAGCAGGAGUGAUCACCAAAAGCUGCUACAAGCAGGAUUGGUGCAAGGACAGCCCUGCUCACAGCCUGUUUCAAGCAGGGUUGUGCUUGCUUUGGUCCAACAAGCCACUAUCCCUCUACCAACAACUUAGAUAUGAGACAGCAGAAGAUGUCACUGGAGAAUGCUCACGAACUCCUACUUCCUUUCUUUUUCCACAGUGAGCUUGGAUGAGCAGCAUUAGAUUCCUCAGAUUCAUUUCUCAUUAUAGGGCAAGCCUUGCCAUCACAAAUGGACAUGAAUACACUGCAGACAUGUGUUUUGCCACGCUGAUGGUGCAUGUUGCUGCCCCUACCCAAUUUUAAUUAAGCAGCAACAUAAACAGUUUACCCACAUUUUAAUUUGUAAGGAAAAGACGAAUGUUUUCAACUUCAGUGUUCUAUCCUAUCUUGCUUUUAGGUUAUAUAUGUUUGUAAACAUACAUAUUUGAUGAUAGAAUUGCCUUCAAAAAUACAUAAAUUGGUCUGGUCUAGAUUUGUUUUCUUUUAUUAACUUGCCAGGUAGCUUUAUUCUCUUCUGUUUAGGAACUUCAUACCUGCAGCAAAAGCUAAAAGCCCAGUAUAUAAAGAGGAAAAGAAUGCUGUAAUCUGUGUCCAAAGCUAGCAUUGUUUGUACAUGAAAUCAAUUCUCAAGAGAGACAUUGAUAGAUCAGUAUGUCACAGCUUUGUGUAAACAAAGUCAUGUGAAUUUGAAUGCUUAAUAGAGACCAGAAGAGAAUAGUAUAUCUGAUAAUAUGAACAAAGCAAAGUUCUAUUUGGCUGUGCAAAUAAUGCAUGACAUUUGUAGAGCUAAUAGUCUCAAGAGUCAGCAAGUAGAAAAGGACGUUGAAUUAAAAGUGUACAUAAGGGCACUGAAUUAAGCUAGAAUCCACACGAUAACUUGUCUGACAUACAAUGUAGAGCAUACCUUCUAUAUUAACAGUCUGCACUAAUCUAUAAAUGGGUUAUUUGGUUACUGGGGUGCUGAGAAACUAUUGUUGUUACAGUUCUAUUAUCACCUCCUGCAGACUUUGAUUUCUUCAUUCUAUUGCUCUUGGUAGCAUAGUAGCUCAUUAUUACUAUCCUCCCACCCUGAAGCAUUAUGGCACCAAUUAGAUUCUAAAAACUAAGUGAUGGACAAUAUCAUUCCAGAAGAAACAAGAAACAUUUCUUGCCUUGUUGUUAUAUUGAGCGUUGGUUUUAAUCUCACACUUCUUUUGGAGGCAUUCAUACCUCACCUCCAUUUUUUAAAAUGUAUUUUUUAUUAAAGAUUUCUUGGUUUACAAAA